CAGUCGCCGCGGGAAUACGUAGGGUGCGAGCGUUAAUCGGAAUUACUGGGCGUAAAGCGUGCGCAGGCGGUUGUGUAAGACAGGUAUGAAAUCCCCGGGCUUAACCUGGGAACUGCGCUUGUGACUGCACAGCUAGAGUAUGGCAGAGGGGGGUGGAAUUCCACGUGUAGCAGUGAAAUGCGUAGAGAUGUGGAGGAACACCGAUGGCGAAGGCAGCCCCCUGGGCCAAUACUGACGCUCAUGCACGAAAGCGUGGGGAGCAAACAGGAUUAGAUACCCCCGUAGUCCCUGUCUCUUAUAC
rnacentral:rRNA from 1 species